AAGGUGAGAGAUUUGAAGACAACAAGGAAGAGAGGCGCCCCGGGGUGCCUGCCAGCGCUGUGGGGGCCACAGCCCCGCCGUCAGUGAGCGCAGGGGUGGCUCCGGGCCCUGAGGGGACGCCGCACAGGGACACGCAGACACCCGCCCUGCGGACAGGACGCUUCUCGGGCCCCGGCACCUACAUGUUUGUUUUCCCAGAACUUCACGAGAAAACAACCUGAAGCAUAAAGCUUGCCGUCUCUUUGCUGCCUUCAGAGUGGAAAAGUUGGGGUGACAGAGGAGUGUACGUGUGGCAGGGCGUAGACAGCAAGAGUGGCCGGCGUGGGCCGCCUGGAGGGGCCCCCACAGCCCACUUCCCGUAAACCAAGCCUAGUAGCUGGUUCAUGCUCUGCCUCUCCCUCUCCCUCUCCCUGUCUCGUAAACAAGCCCACAGACACACGCAUACACAACGUGCACGCUGCCCUCGCUUCUAAGCCAACAUGCCCCUGGUCUCCUCAUGUCAGAAGCCCAACUGAACUUAGAAACUCCUCAAAUCCCUCUGCCCUGUAACCUGUGUCUUAUGGGCCUUUUAAAAAAAAAACAAAAACAAAAAACAAAAAACAAAAAACAAAAAAACACAGGCCUUUUUUAAGACAAGGCCACACCCCCAGACAACACCCAGCCCGCCCGGGCGCAGCGGUGCGGUGACCAGACUGGGUGUCGCGUCCCUCAAUCCCACCGCGGGCCCGGGCCUGACCCCACCACACUCGGGGCCCUCACCUUGGCCCUCGUGUGGGCUACGGCUACGGGAAUCUUACUUCACACAACCGUGACGGCGGGUGGCUGCAAAGCGGCUAUCAGAAAGCAAGGAUGCCCCUCAGAGUCCACCGCUGACAGCCACCUCCUACUAGUCCCACUGGCAUCUCCAGCCCCACGGAGGACCACAGAACAGCAGACCACGGAUGUGGAUGCAUGCAUCUGCUGUAUUCAAUGGGUUCGGCGGGUGUGCCCCACAGGAAACGUCUGUUUGCAGCCACCACCAUGCUGGUCAUGAGAUAAGUGCUGGUAGUUGAGGCUGAAAGCUGCUCCACGUCUGCUUUGGUUGGCUGACCCCGCCCCUUCUUCAGGCCACAUCCGGGGCAAGACAAAAGCUGCUAGAAAGCUGCUACCUUGACCAGCUUGUCUGCUUUGCCUGGGACUGUCCGAACAAAGAAAGUCACACGUCCCAGGAACCUUGUCCCAGGAACCUUCUCGGUCCUGAGUCACCCUAAAGCUUGCUCAGGGCCACACCAGCUUUGGGGGUUUUCUGUGGACCCCGUAGGCAGGUUCCAGGCUCACGAAGGAUUCACGUCUGAGGACUUGCCCAGCGCUCGGUCCCCACUGCAGAUGGGUCCCAGGGGACUGGGCUCACUUCCCCCCAGACAGUUCUCCGUCAUCCUGGCCCAGUGCCCUCAGUGGGGGCUGUUCCAAAGCGGGCUCCUACAGUCUCCCACACCACCCUCCCCACCAGUCUGCAAGGGUCAGGAGAUGAG
rnacentral:lncRNA from 1 species